GUCGAGCGGAACGAGUUAUCUGAACCUUCGGGGAACGAUAACGGCGUCGAGCGGCGGACGGGUGAGUAAUGCCUAGGAAAUUGCCCUGAUGUGGGGGAUAACCAUUGGAAACGAUGGCUAAUACCGCAUGAUGCCUACGGGCCAAAGAGGGGGACCUUCGGGCCUCUCGCGUCAGGAUAUGCCUAGGUGGGAUUAGCUAGUUGGUGAGGUAAGGGCUCACCAAGGCGACGAUCCCUAGCUGGUCUGAGAGGAUGAUCAGCCACACUGGAACUGAGACACGGUCCAGACUCCUACGGGAGGCAGCAGUGGGGAAUAUUGCACAAUGGGCGCAAGCCUGAUGCAGCCAUGCCGCGUGUGUGAAGAAGGCCUUCGGGUUGUAAAGCACUUUCAGUCGUGAGGAAGGUGGUGUCGUUAAUAGCGGCAUUACUUGACGUUAGCGACAGAAGAAGCACCGGCUAACUCCGUGCCAGCAGCCGCGGUAAUACGGAGGGUGCGAGCGUUAAUCGGAAUUACUGGGCGUAAAGCGCAUGCAGGUGGUUUGUUAAGUCAGAUGUGAAAGCC
rnacentral:rRNA from 1 species